rnacentral:rRNA from 1 species
UAACUGGAGAGUUUGAUCCUGGCUCAGAAUGAACGCUGGCGGCGUGCUUAACACAUGCAAGUCGAACGAGAAAGGGAUUGCUUGCAAUCCUGAGUAGAGUGGCGCACGGGUGAGUAACACGUAGAUAAUCUGCCUUCAAGCCCGGGAUAACUAUUCGAAAGGGUAGCUAAUACCGGAUAAAGUCGAUUUACACAAGUGGAUUGAUGAAAGAUUGCCUCUUCUUGAAAGCAAUUGUUUGGGGAUGAGUUUGCGUACCAUUAGCUGGUUGGUGGGGUAAAGGCCUACCAAGGCUGCGAUGGUUAGCUGGUCUGAGAGGAUGAUCAGCCACACUGGAACUGGAACACGGUCCAGACUCCUACGGGAGGCAGCAGUGAGGAAUUUUGCGCAAUGG